rnacentral:rRNA from 1 species
GUGUCAGCAGCCGCGGUAAUACAGAGGGGGCAAGCGUUAUUCGGAAUUAUUGGGCGUAAAGGGCGCGUAGGCGGUGUUUUAAGUGGGAUGUGCAAUCCCCGGGCUUAACCUGGGAACUGCAUCCCAGACUGGAACGCUGGAGUACUGGAGAGGGUGGUGGAAUUCCACGUGUAGCGGUGAAAUGCGUAGAGAUGUGGAGGAACACCAGUGGCGAAGGCGGCCACCUGGACAGUAACUGACGCUGAGGCGCGAAAGUGUGGGUAGCAAACAGGAUUAGAAACCCCCGUAGUCC